GGAUGUGAGGGCUAUCUGGCUGCGAUAUCUGUCACCCCAUUGAUCGCCAGGAUUGAUUCGGCUGAUCUGGCUGGCUAGGCGGGUGUCCCCUUCCUCCCUCACCGCUCCAUGUGCGUCC
rnacentral:snRNA from 1 species